GAAGGGCUGGAGCACAAUGGCAGAGCACUUGCCUUCCAUGCAGAACUUCCCAGGUUCAAUCCCUGGUGCUUUUCC